rnacentral:rRNA from 1 species
UACAGAGGGGGCAAGCGUUGUUCGGAAUUACUGGGCGUAAAGGGCGCGUAGGCGGCCUCCUAAGUCAGACGUGAAAUCCCUCGGCUCAACCGGGGAACUGCGUCUGAUACUGAGAGGCUUGAAUCCGGGAGAGGGAUGUGGAAUUCCAGGUGUAGCGGUGAAAUGCGUAGAUAUCUGGAGGAACACCGGUGGCGAAGGCGGCAUCCUGGACCGAGAUUGACGCUGAUGCGCGAAAGCCAGGGGAGCAAACGGG